UUAAGUUCAGCGGGUAGUCCUACCUGAUUUGAGGUCUAAUGAUCAAAAUGUUGUCCCGUGAAGGACGAUUAGAAGCCAGUCGACUUGAGCUACACAGUGAAGACAUUAUCACACCGCAUAUAUGCUGCAAAUCAAUUACCAGCUAAUGCAUUCAAGGGAAGCCAGAACCCGUAAAGGCCAGCAAGUCCCCAAAUCCAAGC
rnacentral:misc_RNA from 1 species